UACGUAGGGGGCAAGCGUUGUCCGGAAUUACUGGGCGUAAAGCGCACGUAGGCGGAUUGUUAAGUCGGGGGUGAAAUCCUGGAGCUCAACUCCAGAACUGCCUUCGAUACUGGCGAUCUCGAGUUCGGGAGAGGUGAGUGGAACUGCGAGUGUAGAGGUGAAAUUCGUAGAUAUUCGCAAGAACACCAGUGGCGAAGGCGGCUCACUGGCCCGAUACUGACGCUGAGGUGCGAAAGCGUGGGGAGCAAACAGG
rnacentral:rRNA from 1 species